rnacentral:rRNA from 1 species
AUUCCAGCUCCAAUAGCGUAUAUUAAAGUUGUUGCGGUUAAAAAGCUCGUAGUUGGAUUUCUGCUGAGGACGACUGGUCCGCCCCCUGGGUGAGCAUCUGGUUCGGCCUGGGCAUCUUCUUGGGGAACGUAUCUGCACUUGAUUGUGUGGUGCGGUAUCCAGGACUUUUACUUUGAGGAAAUUAGAGUGUUUCAAGCAGGCCCGCGCCUUGAAUACAUUAGCAUGGAAUAAUAAGAUAGGACCUGAGUUCUAUUUUGUUGGUUUUCGGAAAUCGACUUAAUGAUUAAUAGGGACAGUCGGGGGCAUUUGUAUUCAAACGACAGAGGUGAAAUUCUCAGACCAGCGGAAGACGAACCACUGCGAAAGCAUUUGCCAGGGAUGUUUUCAUCG